AAUGCCGUCACGCAUAGGUGAGCAACGGGGCCUGUAAAGCCCUUCCUUCGGGUGUGCAGGUUCGACUCCUGAUGGCGGUAC
rnacentral:tRNA from 1 species